CCAAUAGCGUAUAUUAAAGUUGCUGCAGUUAAAAAGCUCGUAGUUGAAUUUCGGGACUGAUAUGUCGGUCGUGCCUCGGUACGUACUGGUAUUUUUGGUUUCUCCCUUCUGACGAACCUUGAUGUCAUUAAUUUGGUGUCUUGGGAAAUCAGGACUGUUACUUUGAAAAAAUUAGAGUGUUUAAAGCAGGCUCACGCUUGAAUACAUUAGCAUGGAAUAA
rnacentral:rRNA from 1 species